CGUACACUCCUACGGGAGGCAGCAGUGGGGAAUUUUGGACAAUGGGCGAAAGCCUGAUCCAGCCAUGCCGCGUGCAGGAUGAAGGCCUUCGGGUUGUAAACUGCUUUUGUACGGAACGAAACGGCCUUUUCUAAUAAAGAGGGCUAAUGACGGUACCGUAAGAAUAAGCACCGGCUAACUCCGUGCCAGCAGCCGCGGUAAUACGUAGGGUGCAAGCGUUAAUCGGAAUUACUGGGCGUAAAGCGUGCGCAGGCGGUUAUGUAAGACAGUUGUGAAAUCCCCGGGCUCAACCUGGGAACUGCAUCUGUGACUGCAUGGCUAGAGUACGGUAGAGGGGGAUGGAAUUCCGCGUGUAGCAGUGAAAUGCGUAGAUAUGCGGAGGAACACCGAUGGCGAAGGCAAUCCCCUGGACCUGUACUGACGCUCAUGCACGAAAGCGUGGGGAGCAAACAGGAUUAGAAACCCUUGUAGUCCCAUGAU
rnacentral:rRNA from 1 species